rnacentral:rRNA from 1 species
AGAGCGAACGCUGGCGGCAGGCCUAACACAUGCAAGUCGAGCGCCCGUAGCAAUACGGGAGCGGCAGACGUGAGAGUAACACGUGGGAACGCGCCCUUCGGUUCGGAAUAACUCAGGGAAACUUGAGCUAAUACCGGAUACGCCCUUACGGGGAAAGAUUUAUUGCCGAAGGAACGGCCCGCGUCCGAUUAGCUUGUUGGUGAGGUAAUGGCUCACCAAGGCGACGAUCGGUAGCUGGUCUGAGAGGAUGACCAGCCUCACUGGGACUGAGACACGGCCCAGACUCCUACGGGAGGCAGCAGUGGGGAAUAUUGGACAAUGGGCGCAAGCCUGAUCCAGCCAUGCCGCGUGGAUGAUGAAGGCCCUAGGGUUGUAAAGUCCUUUUAACGGGGAAGAUAAUGACGGUACCCGUAGAAUAAGCCCCGGCUAACUUCGCGCCAGCAGCCGC